AACAAAAUUAAUGCUCAAGAGAGAAAACAAAAAAUGCUACUAAAAACAAAUAAUGGGAAUAAAGAGCCAAGAAAACUCAUUAAACUUUUUUUGAUUUAUCAUCCCAUUACUUAGCUUCUUUGAAACAAUGUUCCAUUUUAAUGUAUGUGUGUGUCUACAUUUUAAAUUUUCAUUGAGAGGAUUAAAUACACUGUGGACAAAAGGAAUGAGGGCAAAUCAAUCAAUGCAUAUAUGACUGCAGUCUCUGUGAUCACAUGAAGUGAGAUACAAAUAAAAAAAGCUUUUAGCACACGAUAAAGCUGUACUUCAAGUUAAUGUAAAAUAGAAUGAUCUGUGACUGAAUGAGCUCUCCAAGCUAAAACUGCUUACAGUUACCAUGACAACACAGAUUUUAUACAGCCCCAGACAAUCACUUGAAACUAGUGGACCCUAAGGCCACUAAGGCAUUCAUCUAUCGAUCAUCGAAUAAUAGCACCGGAGACCAUCAACGCCUUCUAGCCCAGUGCAUUUUUACAUAUACUGAUGGGUCGACAUCAAUAGAGUCUGAAAGAUCAAUCUUUGGAGCCUACAUUGAGUAUCCUGGUUCUUAGUUAAAAUCUU